CUAAUUCGUCAGCAUCAUCCAAUUGGUUCUUGUCUUCUAUUACUUAAUCAUCUCAUUCUAAAGAAGUAAAUGGAAAGGAGCGAAUGCAGCUACAUUUGGUUGUAUUAAGUUUAAAUUCAUGUUAUUCCGUUUAGUUCCUUUUCUACAUAUGUGCAGUGGAGAACUGCAGUUGUCCACAUGUAAACUUCAAGCAUUUGUUACCAAUAUGAGUACAUCGCAAUCCGUUACUGUUUCAACACCCAGGGUGGUUUCAUGUCGUUAUUCUUAAACAAUUAUUGUUUUUUUUUCUCUCUUUUUUAGCAAUGCAUCAC
rnacentral:lncRNA from 1 species